AGCCGCAGGGUGGUGCUACUGCAGCGGUGCUCACGGGGCUCGUGUUCCCGGCAUGGGAACUUCGCUGUCGCCGCUGCUGACUGUUCUGUCGCUCCUCUCCGGCCGGUGGCUCGAACUAGGAAAUGGACAGACAACCAACAUGGUCCAGCUGCCAGGCGGGAGAUUCCAGAUGGGAACCAACUCACCAGACGGCAGAGAUGGUGAAGGACCUGUCCGGGAGGUGACGGUAAAACCCUUUGCCAUCGACAUAUUUCCUGUCACCAACAAAGACUUCAGGGAAUUUGUCAGGGAGAAAAAGUACCGCACAGAGGCUGAGGUGUUUGGGUGGAGCUUUGUCUUUGAGGACCUUGUUUCUGAUGAGCUUAGAAACAAAGCAACCCAGAAAAUGCAGUCUCUCCUCUGGUGGCUCCCCGUGGAAAGGGCAUUCUGGAGGCAGCCUGCAGGUCCUGGCUCUGGCAUCCGAGAGAAACUGGAGUUCCCAGUGGUACACGUGAGCUGGAAUGAUGCCCGUGCCUACUGUGCUUGGCGGGGGAAACGGCUGCCCACUGAGGAAGAGUGGGAGUUUGCUGCCCGAGGGGGCUUGAAGGGUCCCCUCGCUCCUUCUGUCUUUCCCUUCUUCCCCAACCCUUCACCUCUCCCCUCCGCUGUCUCCUUGCCCACCUGGCAGGUCAGGUGUACCCCUGGGGAAACAAGUUCCAGCCAAACCGCACCAACCUGUGGCAGGGAAAGUUCCCCAAGGGCGACAAGGCUGAGGAUGGCUUCCAUGGUGUCUCCCCUGUGAAUGCUUUCCCCCCACAGAACGACUACGGGCUCUAUGACCUCGUGGGCAACGUAUGGGAAUGGACAGCGUCACAGUACCAGGCUGCCGACCAGGACAUGCGUGUCCUCCGGGGGGCGUCCUGGAUCGACACAGCCGACGGCUCUGCCAACCACCGGGCGCGUGUCACCACCAGGAUGGGCAACACUCCAGAUUCAGCCUCAGACAACCUAGGCUUCCGCUGUGCUUCCAGUGCAGGCCGACCACCCGGGGAGCUGUGAGUGGCCAUGCAGAAACCAGAAGAGUCCUGUGGCACCCAGGCCACUCCCCAGCCACAUUCCAAACACAGCCAGACUCCAGAUGACCUCCAUCCCCUUCCCCAUCCUCUGUGACAGGCACCUCUCCCCAGGGCAGGAAAGGACCCUGACCUCAGGGGUGACACUGUGUCUUCAGAAGGGGCCCAAGUUAUUGAUUGUGGCCAGGAGCUGGAUGUUUCUCUUAGAGGUCUGAUAUUGACCACAUAGGAGGGCACAUACUCAAACAGUUGGCGGCUCAGAAAGGCAGUUUGUGAAAAAAUUUUCCAUCUGUUCCUUCCCCCUUUCAUGAUGUCUGACCCAGGGAUCUGACAUUAUUCAAGGCAGAAUCUCCCCCAACCCAGAAAUCAAACCAGGGUCUCAUGUACUGCAGGCGGAUUCUUUACCAACUGAGCUCUCAAGGAAUCCAGAAUCUCCCCGGGCCUCCUUAUUCUCCCAGCAAGUUGCCAUAGAAAGAAAAUGAUACCUUUAUUUGCCUUAUUUGUGGGGUUUCACACAUCUCCAAGGGAACCUGGUUUCCAGCACAUGAAAUGCAGUUCCGUGGGCUCUUUAAAGCUCAAUGUCAGUGUUAAAAGGGUCUAGGAGAACCAUGGAUUUACCAGAUGAGACUGUGCACCAUGGGAGUCACAGAAUGAAUGAUACUCAGAAGAAACAGCAGAUGGGUCCCUUUCUACUGUUAAUUAUUCAAGGGCUCCCAUAUGCCUCUAUAAACGUCCCCAGAGAAGAACUGGCUCCCAUGGUGUCACUGGAUAUUGUGGGGUCAGUAAAAAUCGUCUGUGAUUGUGA